AAAUAGAUAAGAGAACGGGAGAAGCUGGAAGACAAAAAAAAGAAGCAGAGGAACUCCCGUGACUAAAAUUGCUUUUUUUUCUGUGGAAGCAAGGCAUGCAGGAGCAAAAGAAAGAAGGGCAGCAGAGAAAUACCAUUGAAAGCUAACAUGUUAAGAGGCAUCUCUCUAACAGAGAUAUCAUUAGAGCAAUAGAGGCACAAAAGCAAGAGAUGGAGGUGGAGCGCAGGAGGCUUUUUUCAAAUGCAUAACAGAAAAUGGUGAAGUUAAGGAAAGAUAAAGAGGAAGAGAUGUUCAGAGAGGUCCAUAUGCCCAGGGAGAGGAUCAUGAAGAAAUUGGCUCCACAACAGCAGGGGCAGACAGACAAUGAGGAGGAGCUCAUUGCCAAGGCUAUUAUUGCUCAAUGGCACAGCAGCAGAAGGAGAUGGCUAUGCUGGACUCCGUUGCCUCACACAGAGAA